ensembl:lncRNA
GGUUAUGGUAAUGGUUAUGGUAAUGGUUAGGGUCAGGUGCAAUACGUUCUGUCCAAGGUGGCUUUGUUCGCCUCGACACAACGGCUGCCCUUAGGGUCAGGGUGAGGGUCAGGGUUAUGGUAAUGGUUAGGGUCAGGUGCAAUACGUUCUGUCCAAGGUGGCUUUGUUCGCCUCGACACAACGGCUGCCCUUAGGGUCAGGGUGAGGGUCAGGGUGAGGGUUAUGGUAAUGGUUAGGGUCAGGUGCAAUACGUUCUGUCCAAGGUGGCUUUGUUCGCCUCGACACAACGGCUGCCCUUAACACGUCACACAGGUUUUGUUUUGUUGCAUCUUGCCAAAAACAACCCACAUUUCCACCAUCAACUCUCACCACACAACGAGACUCAUCGGUUUCAUUUUCUGACAGGAAAGAAGUUCAAAAAAGACAAGUGUUGGCACACAACUUGAGAACCGAGGAGGAGUGACGGAACGCCUGUCGUAAAGCUGAAGGCGUUUCCUCUUUAUCAUCUGUCGUAAAGCUGAAGGCCUUUCCUCUUCAUCUGUCGUAAAGCUGAAGGCCUUUCCUCUUCAUCUGUCGUAAAGCUGAAGGCCUUUCCUCUUCAUCAUCUGAUUUUCCCUUCAGUGUUUUACUUUUAUACGUACAGAUACGUACAGAUUAGUGUUCACUGCAGACUUCAUCUUAGCGGACUGAAAUCCACUGAAUGGAACGUAUUUUGACUCUGAAGUGUGCCAUGGGUUUUUGUAUUCCACUUAUUUCCUCCUCUCCCUUCUGAAAGGCUGGACGCAGUCAGCCCUAGAGGACUGUUGUGUAUCUCUGCCAGCCGUUUAGGUAGUUAACCCACUGUAGGGGUGUAGAGGGAGGGAGAGAUGGACGAAGGAGGAGGAGGUGUUAGAGCCCCUAUCGAUUGUGUGACCUGGGUUUUCUUUUUUUUUUUUUUCUUUUUUUUGGUACUCACCUGAGCAUUAUACUGCCUCCUUCCUCCUCCUCUUUUCUCUCCUUACCUCUUUUUUUGGUACUCACCUGAGCAUUAUACUGCCUCCUUCCUCCUCCUCUUUCUCUCCUUACCUCUCCAAAAUGUUAGUGGAGAAAUAAAAACGAGCUUGACUUUUUGUUUCGAAAAGAGAGAGAAUGUGAAAAGCAAAAAAUGAAGUGUGUUUUCAGUAAGAGGGCGAUGAUGAUGAUGAUGAUUAUAUUUGUUGGUGUAGAAAAUAGGACAAAAUGAGAAAGUUGACCCCAAACCCUUUCCACAACCAUUCACAUCCCAUCUAGCUACCCCUCCAGGAAUAGGGUGACUGAACCUGUUUUACCCCAUUUGGUACAACCAAUGUCUUCUAUGGUACAGUUAUAUGGCACAGAACCUACUGUUAUGUUAUGGAAAAGGAAACGUUACCAUAACUACCAAGGCUGGAACUAUAGAACUAGAAUGAUAAUCAUUCUAAUUCUAUGGUUGGAACACAUUUUAAAGGCUGUACUGUGAUUUGUCUGCAAAAUUUUAAACUUUUAUUUGUUUAUAAAAAAACAUUGGAAUUUGAAAGGUUAUGAUGAUAUGCGCUGAAACAAACUUUGUUGCUUUCAUAUUCCGGGUACGUUUAGUUUGACCAAUGUUUAAUUUGUUUUGGUUUUGCUGCAUUGCUUUUUGGCUUUGAGCUAUUAGAUUUGACCAAUACAAAGGCUUUGUUUGGCCAAAUACUUUCUGUGAUUGAGAAGUCUUACCUAAUCAAUUAUCUAAUCAAUUCAAUCAAUCAGAGGGAUGAGUAUCGAUUAUCAGGCCUAUCGGCAUUGCUCAGUUUUUCUUACGAUUUAGUUUUAGUGAAUGAAGAUUCUGCUUUGUACUGUGCUGAUCUGAGAUUGGCCACUACGGUCACGUCCCAAAACACCAUUCUAGACAUGUACUGGACUUGCAUUCUCAGUAGUGUGCGACAAGCUACUAGUGUGCAUACUAAGUUGGGCCAUAGCGUUCUGAGUAAACGAUAACAAACCCUUGAGAAAAGAAUGGGAAACUCUGGAUAAUAAUACCUACGUAAUAUAUUACAGAGGAAGUGGAACUGCGUAAACAGUUGUAUUUUCUUUGUUUCAUCUAGUUUACAGAACAGAGCAGAAGUUAAAUCUCUGUAGUGUUGAUACUUUUGGCUGAGACUCCUAAAGACAGACGAGGGUUUCAAAUCAUUUUUAAACUAAACAGACAGAAACUUUUUUUCCAAAAGUUCGACUUGAAAUUUUGCAGUUUUGUAAAAAAAAAAAAUUAAAAAUAUUUUUUUAAAGUGAAAAGAAGUUGAACUCGCUGCCUAAUGUUUUGUAACUAUUACUAUUUUAUUUGCUGCUGUGUAGUACGAAAUAACAACUGGUUGAUUGAUGGCAACCGCCACAGUGAUGAGGAAGGUGUCAUUUUCAUUGCUACCUGUGUUUUCUUUCAGAAUUGAAUGGCUUUGUAAUUUAGCUUUACGGAACGUUCUCUUCAUACUGUGGAGUUGUUGAUCCUCAGAUGUGCAUUAUAUUUUCUCAGCAACGUACGUCUUUAGGGGGAAAACAAUUAAAAUCAGAAUGAUUUUUCAAAAUAACUGUUCUUGGUGGAUUCCACCCAACCCCCCUUUAAAUAGCAUAGUUGUUUUUCUGCAUGUUAAUGGCUCCUCAAGGCACCUUUUUCCUUGUCUUUAUUUCUCAUUUACUUCCUGGGGGGUGGGGGGGCUCUAUUGAAGGAAUGUUGAGCGUUGCAUAGUGUUUAUAUUUAUCACUGUUGUUGCUUU